UACGUAGGGUGCAAGCGUUAAUCGGAAGUACUGGGCGUAAAGCGUGCGCAGGCGGCUUUGCAAGACAGAUGUGAAAUCCCCGGGCUUAACCUGGGAACUGCAUUUGUGACUGCAUGGCUGGAGUGCGGCAGAGGGGGAUGGAAUUCCGCGUGUAGCAGUGAAAUGCGUAGAUAUGCGGAGGAACACCGAUGGCGAAGGCAAUCCCCUGGGCCUGCACUGACGCUCAUGCACGAAAGCGUGGGGAGCAAACAGG
rnacentral:rRNA from 1 species